UACAGAGGGUGCGAGCGUUGUCCGGAAUCACUGGGCGUAAAGGGCGCGUAGGCGGCUUGAUAAGCGUGCGGUGAAAGCCCGGGGCUCAACCCCGGGUCGGCCGUGCGAACUGUCGAGCUGGAGCACUGUAGAGGCAGGUGGAAUUCCGGGUGUAGCGGUGGAAUGCGUAGAGAUCCGGAAGAACACCUGUGGCGAAAGCGGCGCACUGGACCACAACUGACGCUGAGGCGCGAAAGCUAGGGGAGCAAACAGG
rnacentral:rRNA from 1 species